GGUUGCGAUCAUACCAGCAUUAAUGCACCGGAUGCCAUCAGAACUCCGCAGUUAAGCGUGCUUGGGCGAGAGUAGUACUAGGAUGGGUGACCCCCUGGGAAGUCCUCGUGUUGCAACCC
rnacentral:rRNA from 1 species